CUACGGGCGGCAGCAGUUAGGGAUAAUUUGCAAUGCGCGCAAGCGUGACAAUUUGAACCAGAGUGCGUUUCUAUUGAAACGCUUUUGUUGAAUGUAAAAAGUUCGGCGAAUAAGGACUGGGUAAGACGAGUGCCAGCCGCCGCGAUAAUACUCGCGGUCCAAGUCGCAGCCAUUUUUAUUGGGUCUAAAACAUCCGUAGCUUGCUUCGUAAGUUUCCUGUGAAAUCCGGCUUCUUAAGAGUCGGGCGAGCUGGAAGUACUGCUAAGCUAGAGACUGGGAGACGUAGGAAGUAUGUUCAAAGUAGUGGUAAAAUACUUUAAUCUUGGACAGACUCACAAUAGCGAAGGCAUCCUACGAGAACAGUUCUGACAGUAAGGGAUGAAGGCUAGGGUCGCGAAAGGGAUUAGAUACCCGCGUAGUC
rnacentral:rRNA from 1 species